rnacentral:rRNA from 1 species
UCGGGAAUUUUGGGCAAUGGGGGAAACCCUGACCCAGCAACGCCGCGUGAAGGAUGAAGGUCUUCGGAUUGUAAACCCCUGUCGAAUGGGACGAAAGACUCGCGAGUUAAUACUUCGCGGGAGUGACGGUACCGUUAAAGGAAGCCACGGCUAACUCUGUGCCAGCAGCCGCGGUAAUACAGAGGUGGCAAGCGUUGUUCGGAAUUACUGGGCGUAAAGCGUGCGCAGGCGGUUGUGUAAGUCAGAUGUGAAAUCCCCGGGCUCAACCUGGGAAUUGCAUUUGAGACUGCACGGCUAGAGUGUGUCAGAGGGGGGUAGAAUUCCACGUGUAGCAGUGAAAUGCGUAGAUAUGUGGAGGAAUACCGAUGGCGAAGGCAGCCCCCUGGGAUAACACUGACGCUCAUGCACGAAAGCGUGGGGAGCAAACAGGAUUAGAUACCCCCGUAGUCCCUGAGCGGGCUGGCAAGGCGCAU